AGAUGGCAUUCUGGAGGCAUGGGAUGGACACCAUCUUGGUUACACCUGACCUGAGGUGCAGAGGCAGGACAGGCAAUGGCCUGGGGCCUGAGCUGGGAGAGGGCCCCUGAGGGCGGCCAAUUACAAAAGUCCCGAGAAUCACCUCUGGGCCUGCUGAUAACAAGGAUUUUCCUCGGCUGCUUAAGAACACACAUUCAGCUCCAGCAUGUCCUGUCGGUCAUAUGGAGCACCAGUCAAGAACAGCGUAUUUCAGACAGGUUCAUUCAAAGACGUCAGACAUGCUUACCUAGAGGCCAGAUAGCAUAUUACUACCCAGUGUGGACACAAGCAUUUGAAGAGUUAAUGGAGGACUUCAGAAAGGAUGAAUGCAUCUGUAUCUGCACUCAUGUGCAGCAUGUAUUUGAAAUAUCUGGCAAGCCGUAUUUGACUGCAUCGAAGGGGAAGUAAAUUGCGCCAUUGCAUCUCAGGGUCAGUGAUAACAGAAUAUGUAGUCAUGCGGUCGCCAGCCCCCUGCCCACUGCAUGCCUUCAUCAUUAUUAGUUCACUCCUGCUAGGUGUCUCUUCACACAAAUACCAGAAACUAAGCCUGCUGAUUGACAUUGAUGCUAUAAUAAAUGGACAGAAAAUGUUUAUUGGUCA